UGGCUCAGAUUGAACGCUGGCGGCAGGCUUAACACAUGCAAGUCGAACGGUAACAGGAAGAAAGCUUGCUUUCUUUGCUGACGAGUGGCGGACGGGUGAGUAAUGCUUGGGAAUCUGGCUUAUGGAGGGGGAUAACUACGGGAAACUGUAGCUAAUACCGCGUAAUAUCGAGAGAUUAAAGGGUGGGACCGCAAGGCCACCUGCCAUGAGAUGAGCCCAAGUGGGAUUAGGUAGUUGGUGAGGUAAAGGCUCACCAAGCCGACGAUCUCUAGCUGGUCUGAGAGGAUGACCAGCCACACUGGAACUGAGACACGGUCCAGACUCCUACGGGGAGGCAGCAGUGGGGGAAUAUGCACAAUGGGGGGAACCCUGAUGCAGCCAUGCCGCGUGAAUGAAGAAGGCCUUCGGGUUGUAAAGUUCUUUCGGUAGCCGAGGAAGGCAUUUAGUUUAAUAGACUAAAUGGAUUGACGUUAACUACAGAAAGAAGCACCGGCUUACUUCGGGGCCAGCAGCCGCGGUAAAUACGGGGGGUGCGACGGUUAAUCGGAAAUACUGGGCUGUAAGGGCACGCAAGCGGUGACUUAAGUGAGGGGGGAAACCCCGGGCCUAACUCUGGAAUUCAAUUCAUCUGGGCCUUGAAAUCUUUUAGGGGGGGUGAAUUCCACUGUGCGGUAAAUGCUAAAUUUGGAAGAAAACCAAAGCGAGGGCUCCUUGGAAGUCUGGCCCCUGGCAAACUGGGAGCAACAGAUAGACCCUGU
rnacentral:rRNA from 1 species